UCCCUGGUGGUCUAAUAGUUAGGAUUCAGCGUUUUCACCACUGUGGCCCAGGUUCAAUUCCUGGUCUGAGAA
rnacentral:tRNA from 1 species